rnacentral:lncRNA from 1 species
CAACGACUGAAAAUAUUUUAGAUUGGGACUAUCAAGAUUUUAGGUCUCACUAGCAUGAUCUCAUCAUGGUCCUAAAAUCAUUGUCCUAAUCUAUGGAGUUUAUUAUAAUCAUAAAAAUAUGAUGCAGCAAAUGAUAAAACAUAAUACUUCAUAAAUAAAAUAACUAAUGUCAUGCAAAUGAAUAGAAAAAAAAUACAGAAAAAUUCUUUCGCAUUACUCAUGCGAUUGGCUUGUAGGACACUAUUCUUUCAGUAAUUUGAUUUGGUUGAGGGAGAUCGACAGAUAAUCGAGAUAAGUAUCUUGCUUAUUAGCAUUUCUGGACUAAGCUGACUUAGCAGAUAGU